rnacentral:rRNA from 1 species
UACAGAGGGUGCGAGCGUUGUCCGGAAUCACUGGGCGUAAAGGGCGCGUAGGUGGCGCUCCAAGUCCGUUGUGAAAGUCAAAGGCUCAACCUUUGAAAGCCGAUGGAUACUGCGGAGCUAGAGUACGGAAGAGGCGAGUGGAAUUCCUGGUGUAGCGGUGGAAUGCGCAGAUAUCAGGAGGAACACCAAUAGCGAAGGCAGCUCGCUGGGACGUUACUGACACUGAGGCGCGAAAGCGUGGGGAGCGAACAGG